rnacentral:rRNA from 1 species
AUUGAACGCUGGCGGCAUGCCUUACACAUGCAAGUCGAACGGUAACAGGUCUUCGGAUGCUGACGAGUGGCGAACGGGUGAGUAAUACAUCGGAACGUGCCCGAUCGUGGGGGAUAACGGAGCGAAAGCUUUGCUAAUACCGCAUACGAUCUACGGAUGAAAGCAGGGGACCGCAAGGCCUUGCGCGGACGGAGCGGCCGAUGGCAGAUUAGGUAGUUGGUGGGAUAAAAGCUUACCAAGCCGACGAUCUGUAGCUGGUCUGAGAGGACGACCAGCCACACUGGGACUGAGACACGGCCCAGACUCCUACGGGAGGCAGCAGUGGGGAAUUUUGGACAAUGGGCGCAAGCCUGAUCCAGCCAUGCCGCGUGCAGGAUGAAGGCCUUCGGGUUGUAAACUGCUUUUGUACGGAACGAAACGGCUCUUUCUAAUAAA